rnacentral:rRNA from 1 species
GACGAACGCUGGCGGCGUGCUUAACACAUUCAAGUCGAACGGUAAGGCCCUGCUCUUGUGGGGUGCUUGAGUGGCGAACGGGUUCGUAACACGUUCGUCCCCUGCCCUUGACUUUGGGUUAACUUCAGGAAACUGUGUCUAAUUCCGUCUAGUAGCUCCUGCUGCAUGUUGUGGUUUGUAAAUUUGCGGCGGUUGGGGAUGUACUCGCGGCUUAUCAGCUUGUUGUUGGGGUAGUGGCUUAACAAGUCUUUGACGGGUGGCAGGACUGAGCGGUAGACGGGCCAAAUUGGGAAUGAGACACGGCCCAGACUCCUACGGGAGGAAGCAGUGGGGAAGAUUGCAAAAUGGGAGGAAGCCUGAUGCAGCAAGGCCGCGUGCGGGAUGACGGCCAUUGGGUGGUAAACCGCUUUCGCCUGUGACGAAGAGUGAGUGACGGUAAAGGGUAAAGAAGCACCGGCUAACUACGUG